CUUGCACCCGUCGGAUACGAAUAGGCCUUUGGCCCAGAACCUUACCAGGCUGGCGUUGGCAGUCCUAUUAAAGUUGGGGCUGUUCGUUGGCGUAUUGCAAUUGUACAGUGUGUAGGAUUGAAUCCUUCGCAGAUAACUUAGUUGUCUAGCCGGGUCGUGUAAGUAGUCGAGUAACCUUGUUGUUACGAGCUAUUAAGCGUAAGCCCGUCGCUAGCUUGAUUG
rnacentral:rRNA from 1 species